UACGUAGGGUGCAAGCGUUGUCCGGAAUUAUUGGGCGUAAAGAGCUCGUAGGCGGUUUGUCGCGUCUGCUGUGAAAACCCGAGGCUCAACCUCGGGCCUGCAGUGGGUACGGGCAGACUAGAGUGCGGUAGGGGAGAAUGGAAUCCCCGGUGUAGCGGUGAAAUGCGCAGAUAUCGGGAGGAACACCGGUGGCGAAGGCGGGUCUCUGGGCCGAUAUUGACGCUGAGGAGCGAAAGCGUGGGGAGCGAACAGG
rnacentral:rRNA from 1 species